GAUAAAAUAUUCAUAUAGUGAUAAAGAAGUGCAAAUUCUUAGGGGGAAAUAUAGACCUUUUAUCU
rnacentral:tRNA from 1 species